rnacentral:lncRNA from 1 species
GUUGAUUAUAGCAACUACAUGAGGACAUAUAUUUAACAGUGAAAUGAAGAUACUUUAUUUCAGGGGAAAAAUGACUUUUAAGAGGCUCUAAUUUUUUUUCUUGGCUUUGCACAGACAAAAUCACCACAUUUUGCUCAACCCUAAUUUUGUCAUUUAUAAAAUGAAACGUUUAGCCUAAAUAAUCUCUCAGGUCUCUUUCCAACUCGUACCAUGAAUCUGAGAGACCUGGAAAGGAAGUGGGACAACAUUUCUGUUGUGAAGAAGGCAAGGCUGGUGAUGUGGGCGUGAAGGUUAAAGAUGCUGGCCCCUCAUGACAUUGGCGAACGUGGCCCUUCUUCCACCUGCUCAGCCAGAAACGCUACUGAGUGCAGACGUUUGUAUACUAAGAGGUAUUUGGGUGCAUACGAUUUAAUCCUUAGCCUGAUGAGCUUAUAAGUGUGAAGAGAAGCAAGACUGUUCACAAAUUGCUAAAACAAAAUAUGAUGCUACAUUUACCCAACAAACCUAAGAUUCUGUGUACAAAACAUUGCAGUAGUAUCACUGGAAUUGUGUGUGGGCUGCUGUGAGUUCAGCGUCCUCUCAGAGCACCGUGGUUCCAAGUGGACGGACCUUAAAGGGUUCCAUAAUCAGGACAGGUUGAAAGAAUAGUGAAUGCCACACAAAUGCCCCCACACCCUUGACCCUGUGCCACCAAAGGCAAAACCAAAAGACAUUUCAAUUGGGAAAAUCGUGAUGCUUGUCUCUUAUUUUCUUUCUUUUAUUAUUAUUAAGACACGAUUAUCAUUCAGGAUUCAUGCUGUUUACAGUUUGACUACUUCAUAGAAAAAUGUGUCUAUAAAACACCUGGUAGUUGUAAAAAGGCUUGGGUAGGGCCCAGAAAGCCAGAUACAUGCAUGCUAUUUAUUCAGCUGCCGGGAGCCAUUCCCUGUCUCCAUACACCCAAGGAUUGUC